rnacentral:rRNA from 1 species
UACGAAGGGGCUAGCGUUGCUCGGAAUUACUGGGCGUAAAGCGCACGUAGGCGGCUUCUUAAGUCGGUGGUGAAUCCUGGAGCUCAACUCCAGAACUGCCUUCGAUACUGGGAGCUCGAGUCCGGGAGAGGUGAGUGGAACUGCGAGUGUAGAGGUGAAAUUCGUAGAUAUUCGCAAGAACACCAGUGGCGAAGGCGGCUCACUGGCCCGGUACGUGACGCUGAGUGCGAAAGCGUGGGAGCAACAGG